rnacentral:rRNA from 1 species
CCUACGGGAGGCAGUAGUGAGGAAUAUUGGUCAAUGGACGAGAGUCUGAACCAGCCAAGUAGCGUGAAGGAUGACUGCCCUAUGGGUUGUAAACUUCUUUUAUAUGGGAAUAAAAUGUUCCACGUGUGGGAUUUUGUAUGUACCAUAUGAAUAAGGAUCGGCUAACUCCGUGCCAGCAGCCGCGGUAAUACGGAGGAUCCGAGCGUUAUCCGGAUUUAGUGGGGUUAAAGGGAGCGUAGGUGGAUUGUUAAGUCAGUUGUGAAAGUUUGCGGCUCAACCGUAAAAUUGCAGUUGAAACUGGCAGUCUUGAGUACAGUAGAGGUGGGCGGAAUUCGUGGUGUAGCGGUGAAAUGCUUAGAUAUCACGAAGAACUCCGAUUGCGAAGGCAGCUCACUGGACUGCAACUGACACUGAGGCUCGAAAGUGUGGGUAUCAAACAGGAUUAGAUACCCCUGUAGUC